rnacentral:lncRNA from 1 species
CUCAUUACAGGUAAGGAUGUCACUGCCAUAUCUGCUCUUAAGCAGUUUCUGCAUAAUAAAUUUCGGAUUAAAGAUUUAAGUGAUUUAAAAUAUUUUCUAGGCAUUGAAGUCUCUCGUUCAAAGAAAGGUAUUUCCAUUUCGCAAAGAAAAUACACUUUGGAAAUUCUAAAAGAUGGUGGAUUUUUUGGAGCUAAACCUGUGAACUUUCCAAUGGAGCAGAAUGUUAAGCUCUCGGACGAAGGUGAUUUGCUUAGAGAUCCUUCUCAUUAUAGGUGAAUUGUUGGACGCCUAAUUACUUGACAAUUACCCGACCGGAUAUCACUUAUUUGGUUCAUGUACUGAGUAGAUUCAUGCAUGCACCAUGCAAACCACAUAUGGAAGCUGCAAUGUGUGUGUUGCGUUAUUUGAAGAAUAAUCCAGGACAAGGUUUGUUCUUUUCUUCUCAGAAUGACUUAUCUUUGCAAUCCUUCUGUGAUUCAGAUUGGGCAAGUUGCCCAACUUCUCGUAAAUCCACCAUAGGUUAUUGUAUAUUUUUGGGAUCUUCUCUUAUUUCCUAGCAAACAAAAAGACAAAAAAAAUGUAUCUCUGCCCUCAGCUGAAGCCGAAUAUAGAGCCAUGACAGGUGCGUGUUGUGAAUUAUCUUGGCUACGUUCACUGCUGAAAGACUUGCGAAUAUUACAUCAGAAGCCAGCAUUAUUAUAUUGCGACAAUAAGGCAGCCUUGCAAAUAGCGGCCAAUCCCCUUUUUCAUGAAAGAACCAGACAUAUAGAGAUUGAUUGCCAUUUUAUUCGUGACAAAAUACAAGAUGGUUCGGUUGUAACCAAAUAUGUUUCUUCAGCUAAUCAACUUACAGAUGUUUUUACCAAGCCAUUGGGAAAGGAAGCCUUCUUAACAAUGAUACGCAAGUUGGGAGUUCUUGAUAUUCACUCUCCAACUUGAGGGGGAGUAUUAGGAAAGUCAAUAAUAUUCCAACAUUAUGGGAGAAAUAUGUGGUAUACUGACUGUAUGAUAAUUACAAAUUUUAGAUUCCUAUUAUUCUUUAAUUACUUAGAAUAGAUCAGC